GGAACGGGUGAGUAACNGCGUGAGGAUCUGCCCUUAGGACGGGGACAACAGCUGGAAACGGCUGCUAAUACCCGAUGUGCCGAGAGGUGAAACUAUUUGGCCUGAGGAUGAGCUCGCGUCUGAUUAGCUAGUUGGAGUGGUAACGGCACACCAAGGCGACGAUCAGUAGCUGGUCUGAGAGGAUGAUCAGCCACACUGGGACUGAGACACGGCCCAGACUCCUACGGGAGGCAGCAGUGGGGAAUUUUCCGCAAUGGGCGAAAGCCUGACGGAGCAAGACCGCGUGCGGGAGGAAGGUCUAUUGAUUGUAAACCGCUUUUGAUAGGGAAGAAGAUCUGACGGUACCUAUCGAAUCAGCAUCGGCUAACUCCGUGCCAGCAGCCGCGGUAAUACGGGGGAUGCAAGCGUUAUCCGGAAUUAUUGGGCGUAAAGCGUCCGUAGGUGGUUUUAAAAGUCUGUUGUCAAAUCGCGAGGCUUAACCUCGUACAGGCAGUGGAAAC
rnacentral:rRNA from 1 species